AAGGUGUUCACUGACCACAUACUUCAAUCUAACUGCAAAUCAUUUUAAAAUUCUAAUUGUCUUAGACAUGACAAAAACCAAAUUCUUUCAACACCUAGCAACAACUUAUAGGCAGCACUCCUGAGUUAGACAACCUUCAUCUAAUUGAAGUUUAGGUAUAAUCCUUAAACUCUAAAAACACGAUGAAAAUUGCCUAAACAAAUUCAAA
rnacentral:misc_RNA from 1 species